ACGGAACAAACGAGCUUUAGCGGUUUAAGUUUCUAAUAAACUAAAGAAAAUGAGAAUAAAACGGCGUCGAAUGCGUCUGCAAGUUUUCUCGCGCCGUGUGUCUGUUUAGCAGAGCAACGUCGAACCUCGAUCUCGAGGAUUUUCACGUCUGCAUUCGACAUACCAGCAACGUGCAAGUGAUUCUUCGAAAACAGAAAAUGGAAGAAAAUUCAACCCUUAAAGGCGAUCACGAACGAGAGUUUACCGAGACGAAUCUUCUUUAAACUACAUAAUUAAGUGUUUUAUCGUUGUUGGAUCUAGACGAGGAGCAGCAAAAUUACCGUUUGCGCUGGUCAAAUAACAUGACGGUGGCGGUAUCGUUACUGGACGAUAACAUCGAAACAAGAUCCACGAUAGCCUUGAAGGGUGAAAAUUGAGAGAAAGAAGAAGAUUUUAAAAACAGAUACAACUCUGAAUUUAAUUCCACUCUUUUUGAUAGAUCGACGAUUGUAAACGGAAUUAAUGAAAUCACGUGUACGUUGCUCGUAACAGUGUUUGAGCAAAAAGUCAGAAAUAGACUUGCCUAACGUUCGUCCGUUCGAUUCUAUAAGACUAGAUUGGCUGUUGACAUGUAAAUAUAUUCGAUUAUUUUUCCACCUUCUUAUAUAAAGUCUAUUAUAAUUGUAAGUAUAAGGUUCCUAGACGUAGUAGCUAUUUUCUCUUAACGCUUUUAUUUAUAUCAUUUUAAUUAACGAUGAGUUAAGCGAGUCUGUGUCUGACCAAGUUUCAACGAUUAAGGGAACAGCUUCAAAAAUCGUCCCGUACGUUCGUUUCCAUGGGACAAACUAAACAUUCCAGUUCUAUUCAAUAUUAUGGGAGACGGAUAAUAAUAGUUCAUGCCGGUGUGGCGAUAACCGGGAGCGACCAAUUCGAACAGGUCGUUGGCAAAUUUGAUCCACAUCUUCAAUGAUAUUCACAAGCUGUACCAGUCUCGUUUUCGUGCUCUAAUACACAAUACUCGACAGUCAAUCGAAUCUCUAAUCAAUUAGAGUUAACCUCGUAACGGUAGUCAAUAAUGAAACAAAAGAGAAUGAUCUAUAUGGUUAUCAAAGUACAUCUUCUUCAUCAGCGCAACAAAUUUUAACAAAGAUAAAACUUCUUAGGAAAGGCGAAGUAUAUUAACGUCUGGAUUCUUCGAAUUAGAAAAUUAAAAAACAUAUAGUAUAGCGCAAGCGAUUGAUCACUGAGAUUAUUGUUUAACGAAGAGCUACGAUACCUUUUUCUCGUUCAAUAAUUGCUAGACUAGAGAUUUUUAUGCAUUUAUGAGAAAUUUGAAGAAACAAAAACGAACAGGAUACGUGUAAAAUAUGGAAUAGUGGAGUAGUUGUUAUAAUACUUACUACGUGAAAUAAAUUUCUGUUUAGAUACCGUAUCUUUAGUGUUGCGUUCAGAAAAAUAUGAAUUUGCAUAGACACCUGCAGUCUAGUAAUCGCUAACAGUGGUGAUAAAUAAUUUAAAAGAUGCUAUACAAGUAUGAAAACACGUUGCUUAUUGCUAACGCUAUUAUUAUUAUCUCUGUCACAUAAUACUAUUUUUAGCAAACUUCUAAUAAUUCUCGCCAUUGUUUGAAUUAAAAAGAUCUACAAACAAUUAAAUUCCUUCGUUUAGGAUCAAACGACUCAGCGAUCAAUGCUUGACUCGAAUAAAAAAUUACAAAGAUUCGUUGCCGUCUCGAAGACUAUUUUCAGCGUCGAAAAAAGUUUUCGAAACACGAUUUCCUCGAUGCUUUUUUGUCGAAUUCGUGGACAGGAAAGCAUGAUAAGUUAGUGGAGUUAAUUAUUCAAUGGUAAAGGAGAAAAAAAAAAGGAGGAAAAAAGAAAAGAAACGAUGUAGCAAACCGCAGAACUGAUGAACACGCGAAUACAAACUAACGUUAGAUCGUCGCCGUAGUGUAAACUUGAACGAAAGCAAAAAAAAUUUACAAAAAAAAUAUGGUACGAUAAAAAUGGUGUAAUUAUUAACUAUAUUAACGAUAAACAAGCAGUCGACGCUAUUUUUUAGAUACGCAAACGAGUUAAGCCAGGACCCAGGACGAUCAUGCCUCGUACGUUUCUCGGUCCAGUGAAAAUCAAUUUUUCUUGUUCAACGUCGUAAAGAACACACAAUUUUUAUUGGCUGUGCGUUCGUACUUCGAGCCGAAUUUAAUCGAAUUGGAGGAAUCGUGCAUGUGUACGACGAUUAUCUGGGUAAAAUUACUGUGAUAUAUUUUAAAAAUAACUUUAUUGAUUUCAUUGGGAUUAUUAUUAAACUCGGAUUGUAGAGCAGAAGUUAAUAAUAUAUUAUAUUACAGGAUAUUUAGAAAGAAAGUUGGAAAUGAGAUUUUUCAAAACAUUAAUCACUCCUUCUUACAGAAAGAUUGAUCCUUAAAGGCUACCUUAAUGGUUACUUGGUAAAAGUUCACAAACGGCACAUCUGUUUCGAAUAAAAAGAAUUAAUAAUAAUGGACAAGUAGAAUUAAAUGUUUCAUUGUUACUCGAUAUUAGAAGGUAGAAGAUUAUUGUUCAAAGUGGUUACAAAUAACGUGUUGUACUGUUACAGAGCGAUAAUAUCAAGAGAAAAUUCAUACGAAGUGAAAUUUUCUAACUUGUAAAUAGCCUUUAAGGGUUGAACAUCUUUCGGGCCGCGAAAUGACUUUAAAUUAUAGGAUCGAAGUUUUAAAACGCCCUGUAUAUCGAAACUAAUUUCCGCGUGACAACGAAUGAAGAAGUUUCUAAGUUUCUAAUCUGAGCGAGAUCUGUCUCGUAAGUUGAAGGAAACUUUAUAAUUGCGUCGUUAUAUUAUCAGCAUAAUUGAUCUAAAUCUUUCCAUUGGCUAAGUUUUUCAGUACAACAUAAUUUACUAAUUUUCUACUUUUUGCGUAUGUCAGAGUUAAUUACUCGGAUUUGCGUCGUGCCGUCACGAAGCCACGCUUAACCGAAUUUUUCUAGUAGAUAAAGCUGAUUAAACGGAGCCCUGAUGAAACUAAUUGCCUCAUAGCCGUUAUAAUGUUAGCUAAAGGACAAACGAGCCGAAGAACGAGGAAAGAGUGGAAGCAGAACGAGACAAGAGAAGAUUUUCCUUGUUUCUUCAGCGAGAGACCGAUUGCUAUUUCGAUUCGUCGCAUAAUUAAGCGUUUAGAAGACUCUAAAGAGGACCAAAGUACUUAAACGUAACUACGCCGAAGCCGUGGCGCUCUUAAACGCAGCGAUAAAACGUAAUUAAUGUCACCUUUCGCGAUUGUUGUCAAUAAGCAAACGAGUAAUAAUGAGAAGGAAAAGAUGACGCGAGGAAGACAGAAAAGAAAGGAAAGGGAAGAAAGAGAGCAAAAUAAGCGUGAAGGUGCUGACUGUUAAAAUUACGUACGUUCGAAAACACGGUAAAAAUGAACAACGAAACCAACGUGACAAAAGUUGUCCGCUGUAACUAUAAUUAAUUAACUUAUUAGACCGAAUAUGCACGAUAUAUGCUAUAUGUAUGUGUAUAUGUACGUAUAUGUUAGUCGAAUUUUCGCUACACCGAAACUUUUCGCGAGAACGAUCGCCUCUAAUUAAUCUCGAUACGUGAACGCUUUCAUAAAGAAAGAAAAAGAAAAAUUGCAAAUCGAGCUCGAUGUUUUUAGAAUUUGGAUUGUAUUGGUCCUCUACGAUAGAGUCGCUCUUACAAAUACAAUUUAUAUUUCUUGGUAUUUAUGUGUUAAUAUGAAUUUUCUUAUAUGUCGUGAUAAAUUAAUUACAAAGUCAUAAUAUAGCAAUUAUCAUAGAUUGAUGUUAAGCUUCGUUUUCAAGAUUUUCUAUUUCUGAACGUAGUUCAGGAGAAAAUUAUUCGCAACGACGUAAGAGGACGUGAAAAAUGAAUUAUCCAUUGCACGUUAAACGGACAAUUUUCAGGCACUAGAUAAGAAACGGGUUAUCCUUUAUUAAAUCCAAUUAUGAAAUUAAUUAGAGCGCGAUCCAGGCUCGCCUCCGUACGCGAUAAUUUAGAUUUCGCUCGAGUUUCAUGCAGAGUCGAUAAGUCUGAAAUCUGCAAGUUAUCUGCGCCAUCGAAUCAUUUCGCAUGUACCACAAGAAAACACACGUAGACACAAGGACAAGAUACGAGCGAACAACGUUAGGGAAAAAGAAACGCAUCGGUGAAAGCAGAACUUUAUAGAGAAGCAGGCAUGAUCAUCAGUAAACCUGGCUUUUGUGAAAAGGAUUAAAAAAAAAGAGGAAAAAUGAAAACGAGGAAAAAAAGGAAAAAAACUUUUGUAGAAAUGCUGAGAAGAUUCGCCACUUCAGAGAUGAAAAACGAAGAAAAAAAAUUAAGAAAACGCUGUCUUGGGAUCAAAGAUAUAGCGACGAAGGUCGGGAAAGGGUUUUUAGUAAAAUAUGUAAAGCUGACGAUCGAUGAUAAAAUUUCUUAACGAUCUUUUCUUCUUCUUGGAUUUUGAAUUCAUCAUUUUCCUUUUGUCCUCUUUAUACAAUAUACAUUAAUAACUUUACACAUAUGUAUGUGUAUGUGAACAUCGCGUUUGAAGUACGUAGAAAAAUUGUUUUUGCAAACUCUAUUAUAAUAUUUACGUUAUAUUUUUUAUAUAUGCAUUUAUAAAAAUUAACAAAAACCUUUUAUAAAUAAAUGUGCAGUUAUUCGAAACAUUUAUUGCUACGUUGUAAGCAUUAAAAAGCACCAAGGGAUAAUUUUUAUGCGAAACGCGUAAAAACAUUGCAAAUUGUAAAAGUAACAUAUAAGUAACAAACAUUGUAAAAGUAAAAACACUGCAGAUGUUUACAUACAAAUUUAUGUUUAUACGUAACCCUUUCAUUGCUGAAAACUUCAAGUUUACAUAUUGUCUGCGUUCCGUACUAAGAGCAUCAAGCCAACUAGAAAUGAAUAAUAUUGCUUUCAUGCUAUUAACUAUGAUAUUAUAUAACACACUGCGUAUAACGAGUAUCAGUUGAAUUAAUUCAGAGAUAUGUAUUUGGAAAUUAAUGGAAAACAAUUGUGGUCUUCCUUUUUUAUACAAUAUGCACGCUCAAUACUAUAUUUAUGUAACUACACAAUAUGCGAAGAAAAAAGCAAAAUACGUGCAGAAAAGCCAACGAAGAAAUAAAUUGUGUCGCUGUUCUUAAAUUUCUAAUUGUUUCUGAUGGGAACAAUAACACGGGACGCGUAUAAAAUUAAACACUAGCAAAUUUUUCGAUCAAACGAUACUUUUCUUCGGGGCAAAACGUUCAAUAUUCCCAAGAGCGUUUCGGCUCAUGAAAAUAAUUUUUAAAGAAAAAUCCCAAGACUGAUAUAGUGGAUAUAUCGAGAUGCAUGCACAUGUAUUGCUCCGAUUUGUUUAAACCCACAUUUAAAUGAGCUCAAAGCUUAUUUAUCUUAUAGAAGUCAUUUUUGAAUGUUCUAACUUCGUAAAUAACAUGAGAAGGAA